rnacentral:rRNA from 1 species
CCUACGGUGUGCAGCAGUAGGGAAUAUUGCUCAUUGGGGGAACCCCUGAAGCAGCACCGCCGCGUGGUGGAUGAAGGUUUUCGGAUUGUAAACUCCUUUUGUUGGAGAAGAUAAUGACGGUAUCUAACGAAUAAGCACCGGCUAACUCCGUGCCAGCAGCCGCGGUAAUACGGAGGGUGCAAGCGUUACUCGGAAUCACUGGGCGUAAAGAGCGCGUAGGCGGGAUAGAAAGUCAGAUGUGAAAUCCUAUGGCUUAACCAUAGAACUGCAUUUGAAACUGUUAUUCGAGAGUAUGGGAGAGGUAGGUGGAAUUCUUGGUGUAGGGGUAAAAUCCGUAGAGAUCAAGAGGAAUACUCAUUGCGAAGGCGACCUGCUAGAACAUAACUGACGCUGAUGCACGAAAGCGUGGGUAUCGAACAGGAUUAGAUACCCUAGUAGUC